GCAGUCGUGGCCGAGUGGUUAAGGCGACUGACUCGAAAUCAGUUGGGUUUUCCCGCACAGGUUCGAAUCCUGUCGACUGCG